rnacentral:rRNA from 1 species
AUUGAACGCUGGCGGCAUGCCUAACACAUGCAAGUCGAGCGGAUGAAGCGUGCUUUCUCCUGGUUUCCGCGGCGGACGGGUGAGUAAUGCCUAUGAAUCUCCCUCGUUGUGGUGGAUGACAUCCUGAAACGGGCGCUAAUACCGCCUGCGUCCUGCUCCUGCAAGUGGGGGGUCUUCGGACCUCUCCCUAUCAUGUGGGCCUAGGUCGGGUUAGCUAGUUUGUUGGGUAAGGGCCUGCCUAGCCGACGAUACGUAACUGGUCUGAGAGGAUGAUCAGUCACACUGGAACUGAGACACAGUCCAGAGGCCUACGGGAGGCAGCAGUGGGGAAUAUGGGACAGUGGGCGAAAGCAUGAUCCAGUGAUGGGGCGUGUGUGAAGAAGGUCUUCGGAGUGUAAAGAACUUUAAGGGGGGAGGAAGGGCAGUAAGUUAAGACGUUGCGGGAGUGACGUUACUAACAGAAGAAGCACCGGCUAACUACGUG